rnacentral:lncRNA from 1 species
UCUCAUAUUCGAUUCAUAAACACAGAAAAACUCCAAAUCAAUCAAUAACAAAAAUAUGCUCCAUCUUCCUAAUUCGAUUUCUGAGUAAAUGGAUCUCUCAGCAACCACAUAUCUCAGUGACUUUAUCUUACAGUUUCACCAUCUUGGGCGGAGAACCAUAUUGCUUCGGUGGAACGAGUUUAAGGCCAAGAAGAUUUGAGAAAGAGUGGAUAUGGUGGCUCUGAAUGAUAUGG